UUCCGAUGGCUCAGUGGGUAAAGCAUCUGCCUCCAAUGCGGGAGACCCAGGUUCAAUCCCUGGGUUGGGAA
rnacentral:tRNA from 1 species